rnacentral:rRNA from 1 species
CCUACGGGAGGCAGCAGUGGGGAAUAUUGCGCAAUGGGCGAAAGCCUGACGCAGCGACGCCGCGUGAGGGAUGAAGGUCUUCGGAUCGUAAACCUCUGUCAGCAGGGAAGAACGGGCACUGAGCUAAUCAGCAGUGAAUUGACGGUACCUGCAAAGGAAGCACCGGCUAACUCCGUGCCAGCAGCCGCGGUAAUACGGAGGGUGCGAGCGUUAAUCGGAAUUACUGGGCGUAAAGCGCGCGUAGGCGGUAUGUCAAGUCAAGGGUGAAAUCCCCGCGCUCAACGUGGGAACUGCCUUUGAAACUGUCAACCUGGAGUGUGUGAGAGGUUAGUGGAAUUCCAGGUGUAGCCGUUACAUCCGUAGAUAUCUGGCGGAACAUCAGUGGCGAAGGCGACUCUCUGGCCCAUACCUGACGCUGAGGCGCGAAAGCGUGGGUAGCAAACAGGAUUAGAUACCCUUGUAGUC